GGAAGUAAAAGUCGUAACAUGGUCUCCGUAGGUGAGCCUGCGGAGGGAUCAUUACAGAGUUCAUGCCCUACCGGGUAGAUCUCCCACCCUAUGUUAUUAUUACUUUGUUGCUUUGGCGGGCCGUUAGGCUCCGGCCCGACUACCGGCCCCGGCUGGUAAGCGCCCGCCAGAGGACCCAAAACCCUGAAUAUUAGUGUCGUCUGAGUACUAUAUAAUAGUUAAAACUUUCAACAACGGAUCUCUUGGUUCUG
rnacentral:misc_RNA from 1 species